rnacentral:lncRNA from 13 species
AGAUAAUCUUCACUUUAAUGAACUACAGAAAGCAGCCUGCCAGCAAAAAAACAAACAUUUAUUAAAGCCUCAAUAAAUAGUAAUUCACUGAAGAUGAGAUUCUUCCUCCUGAAAGUCCAAAUGCCUUCUAAAAAUUAUUUCAGAGCUGUGUUGCUAAAGGAUUAAAAUAGAUUGAGUGCUUAAGUCUUCUGUUGUUCAUGUUCAACUGGGUAUUCCCUUGGGAAUAUUAAACCAAACAGGAGAGGAAAAGCUACAGAGAUAACUAAUGUAAGAUCUGCUGGAAACCCCUAAGAGAGAGGGAAAUAAAUUCUGCAUGAGCUUUCUUCUCUUUCUCCUUCUUCCACCCAUAUUCCCUUCCUUCUUGCUUUCCAUUUGACUCUGGUCAUGGUUUCACUUGCUUUCAGGACCUUGGAUGAAUACCAGGCAGGACUCUGGGUGAAUCUUUGAGGUCAGAGAAGCCUCAGUCUGCCAGUACUAGAUGUGAAGGCGGAUGUGAUGGGAAUCGAUGGUGUAAAUUUCGAGGAGCCUAAACACCUCUGGACCCUGAACUUGUUUGUGGUGGAAAGACGAAAAGAAAAGCAAAGACCCAGUACCAGAAGGAACCAUUGUCUAAUGAGAGUUUUCAUCGACUCAGCACUAUCUAUAUGUCAGUCCUCCACAUGUGAAGUCCCAGUGAAUCUUCAACAAUCCUUAGAGGUGAUCCAGAGUCACAACUAUCUCUUCUCUCAUCCCUUCGACCAAACUUUCCUGAGCAACUCUGAUGCCAGGCGUUUCUAGCACUGUGAUAGAACCUGGGUGGAGGACAGAGGACCCUGCUUCAAAGGUAACCACCUGCCUCCUUCUGCUAUCACAGAGCUGACCUCUGUGCAGCAGAGAGCAGAGCUUGGAGGCCACUGCUGAGAAUCUGCACUCUAAAGACAUCUACCUAAAGCACGAGCUUUAUUUCUGGGCACUCAGCCAGACCUCCUGACCACAUCCUGGACUGAGGAUUUUGGAUGGUGGAACGGGGGUGGAAGUGAACAUUAAAUGAGCAACAUGCUAAUUCCAUGCAAAUGAAUAUCUAUUUUGAAUCAACAGCUUGGGCACUUUUUCUAGGAGGGCUGAGGCAGCAGGAAUCUAAAG